rnacentral:rRNA from 1 species
UACGUAGGGUGCGAGCGUUGUCCGGAAUUACUGGGCGUAAAGAGCUCGUAGGCGGCUCGUUAAGUGUGAAGUGAAAUCCCUGGGCUCAACUCAGGAACUGCUUUACAUACUGGCGAGCUUGAGGGAUGCAGAGGUCUGUGGAAUUCCUGGUGUAACGGUGAAAUGUGUUGAUAUCAGGAGGAACACCCAUGGCGAAGGCAGCAGACUGGGCAUCGCCUGACGCUGAGGUGCGAAAGCGUGGGUAGCAAACAGG